GUACUAUAAAAUCAUCAAACUAUAUCAUAUUUCAUACAUGCAAGGAGAUAAAAAAAUAUGGUUAAAACUCUCAAGUUUGUGUAUUAUAUGAUUUUAUUUCUAUCCCUUUUUCUUUUUAUAAAGAAUGUUGAUGGCGCAUUUGUUAAAUGUGAAACUGAUGAUGAUUGUCCAAAAUAUAAUGGGUUUCGCAAGUAUGAGUGCGUUAACAAUUGGUGUAGAUUAACUGGACUGCACUGAUGAUUGCAUGAGUCCUAGACCAAGAAAGUAUAAUUAUGCCUUGCAGGGAAGAGUAAUUCCGUAUACUGGAAAAAAAAAAAAUCUAUGAAAUAUAACUUACACUAGAACGUUAUGUAAUUUGAAUUUAUAUAUUGGGUGAAUAUUGCUUUACCCUAAUAAUAUAGGUCAUUUUUGAUUUUCCUUCCUGUAAUUUUUUUAUUUUUAAAUUUCAUCCUUAUAUAAUUUGAAGAUUUUUUUUGUUUUGGACCUUCAUGGAAAA